GGCAGUGGGCGGGGUCUUCCAUGCAGUCGAACGAUGAUGCCUAGCUUGCUAGGUGGAUUAGUGGCGAACGGGUGAGUAACACGUGAGUAACCUGCCCCUGACUCUGGGAUAAGCCUGAGAAAUUGGGUCUAAUACUGGAUAUGAACAUUUACCGCAUGGUGGGUGUUGGAAAGAUUUUUUGGUUGGGGAUGGACUCGCGGCCUAUCAGCUUGUUGGUGAGGUAGUGGCUCACCAAGGCGACGACGGGUAGCCGGCCUGAGAGGGUGACCGGCCACACUGGGACUGAGACACGGCCCAGACUCCUACGGGAGGCAGCAGUGGGGAAUAUUGCACAAUGGGCGAAAGCCUGAUGCAGCGACGCCGCGUGAGGGAUGACGGCCUUCGGGUUGUAAACCUCUUUCAGUAAGGAAGAAGCGAAAGUGACGGUACUUGCAGAAGAAGCGCCGGCUAACUACGUGCCAGCAGCCGCGGUAAUACGUAGGGCGCGAGCGUUAUCCGGAAUUAUUGGGCGUAAAGAGCUCGUAGGCGGUUUGUCGCGUCUGCCGUGAAAGUCCGGGGCUUAACUCCGGAUCUGCGGUGGGUACGGGCAGGCUAGAGUGCAGUAGGGGAGACUGGAAUUCCUGGUGUAGCGGUGAAAUGCGCAGAUAUCAGGAGGAACACCGAUGGCGAAGGCAGGUCUCUGGGCUGUAACUGACGCUGAGGAGCGAAAGCAUGGGUAGCGAACAGGAUUAGAUACCCUGGUAGUCCAUGCCGUAAACGUUGGGCACUAGGUGUGGGGGACAUUCCACGUUUUCCGCGCC
rnacentral:rRNA from 1 species